rnacentral:lncRNA from 1 species
GGUAGCUUCACAAUGACAACGAGCUAGCUAACGUUAGGCACCUAGCUAGAAUUCGUAACAUAUUAUACAUAUUGCUAAUUGGUAAUAUAUUGUACGUUUUGCAAAUUCAUAAAAUAUAAUAUGAAUUAUAAUUUGUCUAAUAUCAUACGAAAUGGUUGAUGGACAUCCACAAAUUAAUUCAUACCAUACGAAAUAUAACAUAUCAUACUAAAUGGAAUGUCUCGGAUUUAAAUACAAAAUAAUAAGAAAUGAUCUGAGGCCAGGUGCACCUACACACACACACACACACACACACACACACAGCAGUAGGCUGUCCAUUGUGUUGACACUGCAGCAGAGAUACACAUUUUGUGUCAACCUGUCACUCAAUCGUUAUAACUUUUAAAAUGUUUUUAUAUUGAGACAUUACAACAAAAACUGAGGGGGCACAAGUUUCAACUGAGGGGGCUAAUCCCUCUUUUGACUAAUCGUGGAACCGGGCCAGCUACAGUAUAGUGUAUAAUUUUUACUUUUCUAAACGUUAAAACAGAGCGUCGAAUGUUUGUUUACAUUGAGACAAAUGCCGGUGUAACACCUGAACCCCUGAAAACCAAUAUACAGAGAAGGGUUUUCGAGAGCUAACGUUAGCAUACUGUAGUUAUCAGCUGAUUUAGUAGUCACACCAUGAUUAACUGUAUAUGGCAAUAAGGAGACGACGACAGUCAUUAACACCAAAUGUAUAUACCGUUACUGUAUAGGUUAUUGGACGAUUUAGACGAUUUUAAAAUGUAAAAUAAACAAAAAUGCUCAAUCAAUUUUAGCUAGCUAGGUACAUUACCUUGGUUUGUUUCCGUAUGUGCGGAUUGGAUUUUGCGAAUCUUUGUUUCACUACUAACAAGUAAAUAGAGGGCACCGUAUCUCAAGACAUGACUGGAGAGAUAUGACUGGAGAGAAAAACUGUUUGGAGAACUGUACCUAGUCAAUGCACUUUGCUGUUUAAUGUAUGCAACUUGCUACUAUGAGUUCAGAUUCGGUUAUAUUGUUGGAGACGGUGACAUUUUCUGCUGAAAACCACCAAGAUCAACGGACUAAAGACCCCAAAGAAACCAACUAUCCAAUAGGUACCGUAGCCUCUCCCUAUUACCUAUCAAUGAUGGAGCUAUAUAAAAAUCAUUCGUACUAAUGUGGUGGAAAACUGGAUUUUUGAAAGCAAAUACCAAGUUGGCAGCAUCCAGCACUCACCAAGUUUCUUUCCUUUAUCCUGAAGAUCCUCUUUUUGACCAUUUAGAUGCACCAGGUCCCUAGCAGAGCAAACCACCAGGUCUAAUUGCCCAACAUCAGUGCCCAACUUCACUAAUGCUCUUGUGGCUGAAUGGAAACAAUUCCCCUCAGCAAUGCUCCAACAUCUAGUGGAAAGCCUUCCCAGAAGAGUGGAGGAUGUUAUAGCAGCAAAAGGGGACCAACUCCAUAUUAAUGCCUAUGAUUUUGGAAUGAGAUGUUUGACGAGCAGAUGUCCACAUACCUUUGGUCAUGUAGUGUAUUUUCUUGCAUUACAGGUGCAGUAUAUGUAAAGGGCAGUAAUUGUGAAUGUUAAUAAUUUUAUUCCGCUCUUUAAUUAUCCAAGAUUACAACUUCAAAUGUUUGCAGAGGCGAGGACUUACACAUCCCAGUGGAUGUCUUUCCAUCUUCUGAAGUGUCUUUCUACAACAACAGCCCCAUAACAAAUGAAAACACACCACAGAUACAGUCAACAUUAGAAGUCUUCAUUCAAUCUGAACAGUAAACAGAGGAGAGGACGAAAGAGGUGUCUGGUGGAUGGCUGCCAGGUCACCGUCAUUCACCUUCCUCGUCACCUGCGGCAGGUUCAUGAGUGGGGCAGAGAGGAGGCCCAGUCUGCAGUCAACACAUUCGGCCUCAGAGCACCAAGCAGACAUGAUGGCAGCAGCAGCAGCAAGGCUAAAAACGACUAUCACUCCAGGCCUUUCCCCAUUCUGUCAUGCAGUGGUCAAAAGACUGCCAUCCCACCUGAGAAAGCAACACAAGCUUGAAAAGAACUCUCCUCUUGUCACGACUUCCGCCGAAGUUGGUGCCUCUCCUUAUUCGGGCGGCGUUCGGCGGUCAUCGUCACCGGCUUUCUAGCUACCACCGAUUCAUGUUUCUUUGUCCAUUUGUUAUGUCUUGAUUGUUCACACCUGGUUCCCAUUUCGUUAUGAUUAUUUCCCUAUUUAAACCCUCUGGUUAUCAUGAUGUUUUGUGCGUUAUUAUUUUACUGUUGGUCGUGUUAGUUGUGUUUGUCAUAUUUGUUUUAUCCCUGCGUGGAUUUUGACUGAUGAGCUUUUCUAAGAGUAAAUACGUAUAUUUUACUCAGUUCGGUGUCCUGCGAUUGACUCUAUUUCUCAUCUCCACUACACUGACACUGAUACCUCUAUACAGAGAGCUUCUUACUUCAUCCGGGAGGAGAAAGACACAGACCUGUAGACCAGGAGCCCAACAGACCCAUUGCUUCAUACCGAUCUCUCCUUUGUCAAAACAAACAGAAGACCUGCAUAUUUCGAUUUCCAAUGUUUACGGAGGAAAGGACUUACACAUCCAAGAGGAAGUCCUUCCAUCCUCUGAGGAGUCUAUUGACAACAAGACUCCCGUAACACUGAAAAACAAACUCCAUAAACCUAACAACCAACUUCCGACAAGAGCCGCAAAGCGAAGCAAAGCCCAAAACAAACUCAAAACACUCAACAGUAAACAGAAGAGAGGAGUGAAGAGGUGUCCAGUGGAUGGCUGCCAGGUCACCGUCAUUCACUUUCCUCGUCACCUGCGGCAGGUCCAUGAGUGGGGCAGAGAGGAGGCCCAGUCUGAAGUCGGCCUGAGAGCACCAAGCAGACAUGGUGGCAGCAGCAGCAAGGCUAAAAACAACCAUCACUCCAGGCCUUUCCCCAUGACAGGCUGUCAUGAAGUGGUCAAAAGACUGCCAGCCCACCAGAGAAAGCAACACAAGCUUGAAAAGAACUGUCCUCUAUACAGAGAGCUUCUUACAGCGUCACAGAAGAGAAAGAAGGUCAAAUGUCAUUGAAUGAAUUUUAUGAUGUUUACUGUGAAUAAUUAUUCUACCUGAUGUAUUGAAGUUUAAUGAGAAAUAUGUAAUUGAAUUGGGACAUGAUUGAACAAGAGAAUAUUUGGGAAAGGAAUAAAAAAAGCGCUAGAACUGACACAUAGCUCGGCUAACUUCGAUGUCUGUUUUCCUUUAUCUACAGCAGGCCGACUCAGACACCCUUUCUGAGGCCUGUAACAGAUACAGCAUAGAAAAACCAGCAUCAAUUCAUAUCCGAAGUGGUCACACCCAUUUACACACAGACCUUUUUUGUAGGAUGUAAACCUUAUGUAUGUCCAGUGGUGUAAAGUACUUAAGUAAAAAUACUUUAAAGUACUACUUAAGUAGUUUUUUGGUUAUCUGUACUUAACUUUAUUAUUUAUAUUUUUGAAAACUUUUACUCCACUACAUUUCGCUGACACCCAAAAGUACUCGUUACAUUUUGAAUGCUUAGCAGGACAGGAAAAUUGUCUAAUUCACACAGUUAUCAAGAGAACCUCCCUGGUCAUCCCUACUGCCUCUGAUCUGGCAGACUCACUAAACACAAAUGCUUAGUUUGUAAAUUAUGUCUGACUGUUGAAGUGUGCCCCUGG